UAGCUGGCCCAGGGGUGGGCGUGGCCUCCGAGGAAGUUCGAGGAACUGAGGUUGGCGGGAAACAGCCGGGAAGACCGCGGACGACCGAGAGCUGUUCUGGCCGACCCUGACGUGCCCUCAGCGAAAUUCCUGUCAGUUCUGACCCGAGCGGCCCCCCAACCUCUCAUUCACCGUCCGCAGAGAUUUGGGGUGUUGUGUGACUGAGAAGACCGAGGCUGCCGGAAAGGCCACAAGAUAAUGGUGGCAAUUAAUGCUUUGGAGAGAAAAAUAUUCCUCCCUCACCCACCUCCCUCACACAGAAAGAUACGUGCGUUUUCUCUUCCUUAAGAAUUGAUAAAGACCUGAGAAGUCCAGGCCAACAUAAAGUCCUGGUUUCCAGAUCAAGCUACAUGUGCAACAACAACAACAAACUACAAAAGCGAAGAGGGAGCUUUUAGAGAGCUCUUAAUGGAAAGGAAAGAAAGGGAAAAAAGGAAAGAAAGGGAAAAAAGCCCAAAAGAAGCAGGACCCAUAGGCUGGAGGACUGGAGAAAAGGGAUCAUGGUGCUUUUUCCACUUUGGCUUAUGUAGACAUGUACUCUGUCUUGGAUAGAAAGAAAACAAAACAAAACAAAACAAAAAAACCUCCAGGGCCCAUGGAGAGAAGAAUGAAAGGCCAAAAAUCUUACAGCACUGGGACAAAAAUGAAGCAUAGAAAAAAGAGAAUAGAAUGACAUCUCCAGGGCUCAGCCUGGAGAGCUGGGUGGCUGCUCUCAGCUGCUGAGCCUCUCUUGACGGCUUACGUUAAAGGAGCACUCUGCACAGGCUUCCCAUUGGUGGCUUCAGAACUGAAAUACGCCCUGUGACCUUCUCACCAGCUCUGUUCACAUCCUCACUCCCUUGUUUCCAGCUUCCCUACUUGUCUCUUCAUUUGCCUGGCUGAUAAAUGCAUAAAGUUGCCCUCUGUGCUAUGACCUUGUCUCUCUACAACUAAGAUGAUGAAAAUUGGAACUCUUCAUCCAGCUAUGUUGUCUCAGGCCACCCUGAAUAACAUUCCUCCCAGUUGGACCCAGUCCUCAGGAUACUUCUCUGUGAAAAACGGUGAACUACAUGGUUAUUUGGAAAAUUAUGUCCUCAGGAGAGCUACCUUAUUGCUAAUGGUUUAAUGCUCACUUUCAGAAAAAAGCUGAGAUCACCUAAAUGCAGGAAGAACAAAGAAAUAUGUAAUUUCUGGACAUAAACAUCUGUUUUUCAGUUUUAUAUAUACUAUCUUACUAAUACCUGCUAGAUUGAAGUUGGGUUUCAUAGAACAAUAAAAUAUCACUCCCACAGAAAGGAAAUGUGAAUAAAAACAUUUAUAAAGGAAAAAUGGAACUGACAUGUGGAAUUAGAAG